rnacentral:lncRNA from 1 species
AGGAUUUAAUUAUCUGGAAGAAAUGUGGCCUGCUAAACAGCACAUUUGAGCAGCCUUUAAAAGAGACAUGACUGCUCUUAGAAGCAGAGCCAGGCUGGACAUGAGACUUAAAUGUGACCUUAUACAAGCCUCACUAUUUAUGCUGGCAGCAGAAGACUGCACAAAUACUCUAAAAAGUCAUCCAUGGCAUGAAGAAAAACGGAAGUGGUAUCCUAACUAGCAAUGCAAGAGUAGUAAAAAUAUAUGUAUGUCAAGAU